rnacentral:rRNA from 1 species
CAAGGAAUUUUCUGCAAUGGGCGCAAGCCUGACAGAGCAACGCCGCGUGGGGGAUGACGCAUCUCGGUGUGUAAACCCCUUUUCCCUGGGACGAAGCAAGUGACGGUACCAGGGGAAGAAGGACCGGCUAACUACGUGCCAGCAGCCGCGGUAACACGUAGGGUCCGAGCGUUGUCCGGAAUUACUGGGCGUAAAGCGCGCGCAGGCGGUCGGGUUCGUCGCUGGUGAAAGCCCCACGCUCAACGUGGGAAGGUCCGGCGAGACAGCCCGACUGGAGGCAGGGAGAGGUCGGUGGAAUUCCGGGUGUAGUGGUGAAAUGCGUAGAGAUCCGGAGGAACACCAGAGGCGAAGGCGGCCGACUGGACCUGACCUGACGCUGAGGCGCGAAGGCGUGGGGAGCGAACGGGAUUAGAUACCCCGGUAGUCCACGCGGUAAAACGAUGUGCACUGGGUAUGGCGGGAGUUGACCCCUGCCGUGCCGGCGCUAACGCAGUAAGUGCACCGCCUGGGGAGUACGGCCG